rnacentral:tRNA from 2 species
GGAUAUAGCUCAGCCUGGUAGAGCGCUUGCUUCGGGAGCAAGAGGUCAUGGGUUCGAAUCCCGUUAUCC